rnacentral:misc_RNA from 1 species
UACAAAUAAAAUUUUAAUUUAAUACAUGAUUUAUAUUUUAAUUUAAUCUAAAGUUUAAAUACAUGUAAAUAUCAAUUGAUCGAGUUGGAUCAUACUCAUCGGAUACAGCAUCAUUUUAAUUAUUAUAUACUUAUAAUACACAGAGAGUAUAGACACUAGAUAAUUAGAUAAGAAUUUAUAGUUUCCAUCCUAUGAUCUUGAUCCAUAUCUACACCUCUGUACAAAUUGAAAAUUAUAUCUUAAGCAUCCUAUAGAAACAAAGAUAUAAAUCUCCAUAAUUGAAUUUUGAACCUUUCAAUAUGAAGCUGGAGUCCAAUACUCUGCAUGUGAGAGAUGUUAAGACGCUUUGCGUCAACUCUCAAAAUUUACAACUCAUCAAGAACUCGUUCAUAUUGCAUCCUUGGGCACAUUACCCACUCGAUUAUUGUUCUUCACUUUGGCCAAAGUUGGAAUUCUUCAGUGUUUUUGACUCCAAUUAGAGAAAACUCUUUCAAAAGCAGAUCAACACACCCGGGUAAAGAGUCCUUAAAACCCUUUGAACAGCCCUUGUCACCCUCAUCAACAUCCUGAACCCCACCUUUGACCAGACACCCCACCUGAGCACCAUCCGCAUAUGCUUUACAUGCCACCAGAAUGUCAUUAGCAUACUUGUGGAAAUGGCCCAUAACAAAGUCCUCAAAAUGCUUUGGUGGCCUCCUCAUAGCAUAAACCAUUGUCUUAAGAGAUAACAUAAACGUCUUCUCAUUGUACUGCUGAGAUUUUAUUUCACCAUUUGGUGAACCACUCAAAUAUUCGUAACCAGGCUCAUUAAAAAAGGGCUUUUGAUUCAAUAUCAGUGCUUGUAUGGAGACCAGAACUUGUAGCACAGUCGACACACCAGGAAGCCACUUCUCAUUCUUGUUACCAUGCCAGGUGCCAAGAAGGCUCAGGCAAACCUUCCCAGAACUGUACAAGUUUGGGUUAAGUUGAAGACCACCAGAAUGAUAGUAGACAAGCGGUGGUACGUUGGGAUAACCACUAGGGAAGAAAACAUCAAAAAAGAAGAGACCAUCAUGAUAAGGAGUACUCUCGGCUCCAAUAAUGACAGCCCUCAAUAGGUCCAUCCUCGAUUCAUAAACCCUAACAAAUAUAGUAUCUGUUGACAUGAUAAAAUUGGGACCCAAAAAUCAAUAAUGAGAUAAAACAAAACUUCAAUAGGAAAAAUUGGUAGUUCUGCUUCAGCAAUGAACAGACACCUAAUGAACAUAUUCUUUUUUACCCAUUUUCUUUUUUUUUAAUGCAUUAUAUUAUAUGAAAACAGUAAGGAGCAGAUAGUGGCUACCAAAGUCAUUAUUGCGUCUACUUAGUUACACAGUUAGUUUAGGAGGCUCACAAACACUUCACAAAUGCCUAAACACAACUACAUGUUAUGGUUCCAACAAAGACCUAAGUGAACUGCAUUGCAUAAUUUAUGGUUAAAAAAUUAUUAUACAAUUUAUAAAUAAAUUUUCUCAUCAGGGACCUCCUCUCUCAUCAAAAUGACCUAAUAGAGAUAGAAAGAGUAAAGCUCACUGAUCUUAGCCAAAAAUUAAAAAAUAAAAAAGAAAGCUUCUUGUCACCUGCAAGAAAGAAAUUUGAAUGCUGUGCAUGGCAAAAACCUAUUCUACAACUGGCAGCUAUUUGGCAUUUCCAUAACAUUUGAAAAUUCUAAUAGUUAUUAGAAUUCUGAAGUUCAGAACAAUAAUAACAAUAAAAAGAUAAAUCAAGAGGGAAAAAUUGUAGCAUUGACAUGUAAAUUAGUGUAAACAUAAUUAUAGAAAUAGUUUUCUUUAUUCUUCUGUUAUUACGUAUGGCUUCUUUCCUUUUCAUUAGUAUAUUUUAAGCAUAAUUAAGAAGCUCCAGCUCCCAUCUGUGUAGCACUUAGGAACCUAAACUAACAUUAAAAUACCAAACAGAAAAAACAUAAUCCAAAGGAAGCCUACCAGAGAAAAUAUCAUUUAGAUAUUCUUAAGAAGAUUCAGGCAUUCAGAUUCCUAACUGUUUUGAACAUGGUUUACUGAUACAUACCCAUAAAGCCAAUUCUUAAUUUCAAUUCCAAAUAUUCACAUGGUCUCACAACCAAUAUAUUCAUCAGAAAACAAUUCAUCUGAAGAAAGGAUGGGAGACCUUGGAAAAGAUUGUCAAUCCUGUGUGGAAAACGAAAGCAUGGAACUUACCUGGCAAAUCAUUCUCCAGGAUUUUCCAUUCCUCCUGAACUCUCUUGGACCAAUUCUUGGGUGGCUGCUUAGUUGAAGAACCUUUAGAAACAUAGCGAUGAUCUGAAUGAUCUUCAACAGUAUCAAACUUCUUAAAAAGUUGGUAUUUCCCUAGAAUAUCAUUUUCAUCUACAUUCUUUGGAGUUCUGGUAACACCUUCUUCAGGGGGAAUAUAUGCAGCAUGAAAUGGAUCAUAGAAAUCUGAGUGACUUGUAUGGUUAGUGUUUGAAGAUUUGAAUUUAGAUGUGAACCAAGAUAUAGAUGGGCCUACUACAGAAUGGUGAUUCAAUCCAUCCACAUUUGCAGGAAAGUUUGGACAAAUAAGAUUAUUUGUGCCAUCUUGGUUGUUUAGAUUAAAUGGAGUAUAGUGUCCCCAGUGUGAUGGUUCAACGCCAUGAGGAAUUGUUGCCUUGGGCGAUUGGUUUACAGAACUAUAAUUAUUUGAACUACUUGACGUAACUGGUAUCUUUUUCCUCUGUAGGUUAUGAGCAGGAUCCAGAAUCCAAGGAACAGGAGCCUCCACUCCAGGAGGAAUAUCCACAUCGUAAAAGUGGGCAUCUAAAAAUGCAUGAUCAUCAAAAUCCAUGGAAUCAUCAGAAAUGAAAUCCAUAUAGUCACUGUCAUAUAACAAAUCAGAACCACCAUCUAUGUUGAUUGUUUUAUGUGAUCCUGGAGCAGAGUUUUCAGAAGGACAGAAAAGAUAACUGACCAAACCGUCCGUAGCUUGAUAGUAACCUUCAGAACUAUCUUCUACAGCUAUCCCUUUAUCUUUUGUGUCAACUUUCUCAUCAAGGAUCAUAACAUCAGGGGAAUCUUCAUCAUUGUCAACAUCAAUAACUUCACGAAGUAUAACCUAGAAAAAAUUGUUUCUUUAAAUUAUACAACAACUGGUUGAUAAAAAGAAACUAGCAAAGGGAAAAGUUUGUAAAUUGCGCAUAAGAAGCAAGGCUUAAAACCCAGGGCCAAUGCCGUUCCAAAUCCUUAGGCAUCAUGCAUUCAGUAAGCUCACAACUAUCUAAAAAUGGUUAGAGCUUGAGGAGAUAAAAGCCACAACUCAAGCAUGAACUGUUAGAUCUACUUAUUUGUAAAUCAUUGCAGCAUGAACUAUUAGAUGCUUUCAACUCCAGGGUGGAAGAAAAUAAAUUACUACCAGGGGGCACUCUUGGUACUCGUAUAAAGGCCAAAAACCAUUUUUUAUUUUAUUUUUCCCUACCUUAUUCCCUCCUAUACAUCAGUUUUAGAACUUUUAUUCUGUUUUCUUCCACUUAAGCCUUCCAGAAUAAUAACAUUUUCACAUCAAAACACUUGACUUGCUCAGUCACAAGAGAUACUUCAAUAGCUUUUUAAGAAAAAUAAUGUAUUAAUUUGGUCUUUUUAGUUGUUUGGCUAUUAUUCAUCUCAAAAUUCAAACAUAUACAAAAUUAUUACAUCAACAAGAUUACUCCUUGUUUGUUUGAAUUCUUGUUUAAAAUUAAUUUGAAUCAUUUGAGACUUUUAUUUUAUAUAAAAACUGAUAGUAGCACUACUGCAUUCGGCAAUAUAGUCUGAUAAUGAUACCUUGUAUCAUGAACGCCAUCAGCUACACCAAAUAUGAACAAUUUGUCAAUUUCAAAUAGCAGCACAAAACCCAAGAUGUUAACAUCAGGCAAAUUAUAACUCGUAGUUUAAUUUGUGAAGUUACAGAUCAGCAGAAGUGUCUACAUCACUUCAUAAAAUUGAUUUUACAAAUUGUACCAAUCUAAGAAAAAAGAAGCUGUCCUUAACCAGCUCAGGCCCCAGGGUUAUAUAUUUCAGUCCAAAUGGCCAAACAUAAUACUUAUCUCGCAACAGGAACUAAGGAUAUUUAAAAUCCAACAUGUAGGACAAUAGAGGGAACUCUCUAUUCUACAAAAGAUGGCUACAUUUAGGCAUGAUAUAAGGCUAGGCUAGAUUGCCAGUAAAUAAGUAUUUUUAGGCCCCAAUUCAAUUGGAAACCUGAUCACAGUGAUAUCUAAAACAUACAUCAGAGCACAUAAACGAAGUAGAAUUUCAGAAAUCUACCAGAUAGCCACUAUUCAGAUUGCAGAAUAGUGAAAUAGAAAUCUAAAUCCCAUUGCAUUAGGAUUCUUAAUGUCUGGUUGGAAUUCAGCUUGGGGGUGUUCUCAGGAACUGCUUUUGAACUCUCUUCUUUUUUUUCCGAGAUGCAACAGCAGGUUAAUGCCAAAACACAUAUACAUACAAAGGAUUAUUGAAUAUACCAACUUCUGGGACUGUUUACAUUGACUCAGAUUGUGGUAGCUCUUGCAUGAUAUGUACUUAAGAAGUAAACAACUAGAUAAAACAUACCCUUCACACCACUAAAACCCAAAAAAAAAUCUUCAACAAUUUCAGCAACGGGUAACAAAAUCCUAUAAAAAGCACAAUAAUGCAAAAGAAUCCUACUUUUAGCCAAACUAAGGUAUAUAUAUAUAUAUAAAAAAAAAGGCACAAACAAAAUAUUAUUAAAGAAAUAGAAAGGACAAAGUUGAAAGAAAAGGAAUUCAAUUAUAGAAUCAAUCAAUAGAGAUUAACAGUAACGAUAGGCAUUAGAUACAAUAAUCCAUGAAUAAAGCGACGAUUACAGAAGAGAACGAUCGAUCAUUCCUGGACUUUAAAAAAAGAGCUCUUUUUUUUUUUUAAAGAUUGUUCAGGGAAAGACCUGUUUGAGUUUAUUCUGUUUGUUAGCGCGAGAAACUGGAGGCGCGAUUUCGAUCACGUCGGGGUCCAUCAACAGCUGCUUCCUGCUUCCAGAGACAACGACGGGGACAGAGCGAGAAAGACUGAGAGAGAGACUUCAAAGAAAGGUUUAAGAAAUAGAGAAUUUUGAGAGAGAGCAUGUGUGGCAGAAAUGCUUGGGUGGGGCUGCGGCUCCUGCAUGGAAGAUGGAUCGGCU